UACGGGGGGGGCAAGCGUUGUUCGGAAUUACUGGGCGUAAAGGGCUCGUAGGCGGCCAACUAAGUCAGACGUGAAAUCCCUCGGCUUAACCGGGGAACUGCGUCUGAUACUGGAUGGCUUGAGUUCGGGAGAGGGAUGCGGAAUUCCAGGUGUAGCGGUGAAAUGCGUAGAUAUCUGGAGGAACACCGGUGGCGAAGGCGGCAUCCUGGACCGACACUGACGCUGAGGAGCGAAAACCAGGGGAGCAAACGGG
rnacentral:rRNA from 1 species